rnacentral:tRNA from 1 species
CAGGAGGUAGUUUAUAAUUAAAACGCUAGUUUUGGGUAUUAGAUAUAAAUAGUAAUUAUUUUCUUCUGA